rnacentral:lncRNA from 1 species
GGCCGUGGGACUUUUCCUCCCCUCUCCCUGGGGCCGGAUUCCAGCUGGGGAGCGGCAGCGGGGGCGAGGGGCACGGCGGCGCCAGGGCGAGCCCCGUUCCCAUCGCGCUGAUCCUGCGGCAGCCCCUUCCCGGAGGAGCCCCCGGCUUUUGGUCCCCCCCUGUUCCUGCAGGGUGAGCGGCACCGGGGGGCUGCCGGACCCCUCGCACCCCAUGGGACCCCGCAGUGUGGGCAGGGGGAGGGUGCCAUGGGGGGGCUCCUCUGGGGUGUGCCGGGGUGAACCCAUGGGGCUGUGCCCACAGCACGUGCCAGGGACAGGCGGUGGGGCCGUGUGCUCGGGCACGGCACCGCGGGCACAACCAGCAGCGUGCCCGUGCCACCAGCACCGGGACCUGGCACCGGCUCCUCCUGGGCACGGCCCGGGGCAGGCGUCGCAUCCGCACGUGGAGGCGCUGCCAGCGCCCAGCUCCGGCCGGGCAGGGCGGGUGCCAGGGAUCCGGGGUGGGGAGCGGUUUGGGGCACUCCUCACGUGCCAGCACCGAGCCAUCGCCCCCGCUUUGCUCCUGCAGGGAAGCGGUCGGAAAGCGCGACGCCACCGGCAGCCCCGCAGGUAGGAGCCCGGCCCCGGGGUGCCAAAAUGCAGCUGGGGUGGGGGCUCCGCACCCUGUCCCACGUGGGGCUGGGAGCCCCCUUCCAGCCCCGCUGCACCCCAUGGGGCCCCGCUGGUCACGGGCCUUGAGCGGGGGGAGCCUGGCGCUGCCGGUGCCAAGCGUGCGGGACCUUUGUCCCGAGGGGCCCGCGGGGCUGAGCGCGGCACUGAAUGGGGCCCUUUGUCCGUGCUCUCAGCGAGGGAAUCGCCCCCUUCUCCCCCGCUGGGUGCCGCACGGAGUCGUGGCCGGGGCACCCGUGCCCUGCCCGGCGCAGGGGGAGGCCAUGGGCGGGCAGCGGGAUGGGUGGGUGCCGUGCCGUGCCGCGCGGUGCCGUGGGGCACUGUCCCUGUCAGCAGCGGGGACGCAUGAGCCAAGAGCUUUGCCUUGCAGCGGGGCCGCGGGAGGGGCCCAAAGCAGAGCCCGGCACCUGCUGGGGGACAGCGGCCGGCGGGGACCAGGACGAGGACGGGGACGAGGACGGGGACGAGGACGGGGACGAGGACGGGCAGCAGCCGCCGGGCACACACAGCGGAGCUGAGGCCGGCGGGGUGCCGGCAGCC